GACGAACGCUGGCGGCGUGCCUAACACAUGCAAGUCGAGCGGGGUUGAAGCGAGGGGUAACUCGGACUUCUACCUAGCGGCGGACGGGUGAGUAACGCGUGGGCAACCUGCCUCAAGGUUUGGGAUAACAGCUCGAAAGGGCUGCUAAUACCGGAUAUGCCUGUGGCCUCGCAUGGGGCUAUGAGCAAAGGGGAAACCCGCCUUGAGAUGGGCCCGCGUCCCAUCAGCUAGUUGGUGAGGUGAAGGCUCACCAAGGCGACGACGGGUAGCCGGCCUGAGAGGGUGACCGGCCACACUGGGACUGAGACACGGCCCAGACUCCUACGGGGGGCAGCAGUGGGGGAUCUUGCACAAUGGGCGAAAGCCUGAUGCAGCGACGCCGCGUGAGCGAAGAAGGCCUUCGGGUUGUAAAGCUCUGUCUGGAGGGACGAAGAAAAUGACGGUACCUCCGGAGGAAGGACCAACCGGCGUAACUAACGUGGCCAGCAGCCGCGGUAAAAGUACGACGUCG
rnacentral:rRNA from 1 species